AGGAGCACGAAGGUUGGCUAAUCCUGGUCGGACAUCAGGAGGUUAGUGCAAUGGCAUAAGCCAGCUUGACUGCGAGCGUGACGGCGCGAGCAGGUGCGAAAGCAGGUCAUAGUGAUCCGGUGGUUCUGAAUGGAAGGGCCAUCGCUCAACGGAUAAAAGGUACUCCGGGGAUAACAGGCUGAUACCGCCCAAGAGUUCAUAUCGACGGCGGUGUUUGGCACCUCGAUGUCGGCUCAUCACAUCCUGGGGCUGAAGUAGGUCCCAAGGGUAUGGCUGUUCGCCAUUUAAAGUGGUACGCGAGCUGGGUUUAGAACGUCGUGAGACAGUUCGGUCCCUAUCUGCCGUGGGCGCUGGAGAACUGAGGGGGGCUGCUCCUAGUACGAGAGGACCGGAGUGGACGCAUCACUGGUGUUCGGGUUGUCAUGCCAAUGGCACUGCCCGGUAGCUAAAUGCGGAAGAGAUAAGUGCUGAAAGCAUCUAAGCACGAAACUUGCC
rnacentral:rRNA from 1 species